UUAUACCUUGUCGAACAACCGCAGUUCGACAAGUACUCUGUCGAAUUAUGGUUGUUCGAUAUGUACCCCUGUCGAAUUGUGGAUGUUCGACAAGGCA
rnacentral:pre_miRNA from 1 species